UCCUUUGUUGUCAAAGGAAUGCACUCAUUAGCCACCGUUGAACAAACAGAAUUCAUCGAGCUUGUGCAGGGACUUCACCCAGGUGCCAAUGUAAUGUCCAGACGGACACUCGGACGACGGAUUGAUGAAGAAUUUGCAACAAAAAAAGCAUUCCUAAAAGAGACGCUUAAAAAUGUUCGCCGUGUUUGUACAACAGUGGAUAUUUGGUCAACAAAGAAAACCAGUUAUUUGGGAGCAACAGUACAUUGGAUCAAUGGAGACACGCUGGAAAGGCAGUCAGCCGCUCUUGCCGUUAGGCAUUUUCCCAGCCCCCAUACUUAUAACCGAAUAGCAGAACUGUUGGAUGAGAUUCACACAGAAUAUGGGCUGUCUUCAGACACCAUUGUGUCUACAGUUACUGAUAAUGCAUCCAACUUUGCAAAGGCCUUUAAAGAGUUCAGUGUCACUGGAAAAACAAAUGACCCAGAUGAAGUUGAAGAGCUGGACGAUGAGCUGUCCUUCCUGGUCAUAGAUCCUGAGAGAGAAGAAGCAUCUGAGUGUUCCAUCAUUUUACCACCACACCUCCGGUGUGCGACACAUACUCUGAGUUUAAUCUCAACUACUGAUGUCAAGAAAUCGAUCACUAGCAAUGCAACUCUCAGCAGGCUGAAUCAUUCAACGAUGGCGAAGUGCUCAGCAUUAUGGACAGCAUCUGGCAGACCAAAGAGUGCUGAAACGCUAGGCAAAGUAAUCGAGCAGCAACUCAAGACACCCUGCAUUACAAGGUGGAAUUCUCUGCAUGACUCCUUGAGUCAGUUGUCAUUCUUGCGUGACAAGCUCCCUGAUGCCAUGACUGCCCUGCAACUUCCACCAUUCAGGGAAGUCGAACUGGACUACAUUGAGGAAUUUUGCAGAGUGUUACGACCGAUUGCCAUCUCAAUAGAUCGGCUUCAAGGGCAAUCUGCAUGCUAUUAUGGUGAGCUGUUGCCAACACUUUUCACCAUUCAAGCCAAGCUGGAGGAUCUGCAAGCAUCAAACUUGAGGUACUGCUCACACGUUCUUCAAGCAACCAUAGCAGGGUUCAAAAAACGCUUCCACAAUUUUCUGAUGCUGGAGCAUGACGUGAAUGAGGCCAUCCUGGACACCACAACACACCCAUACUUUAAGAUGAGGUGGUUACCCCAGAGGUUGGCUUCUGAGAAGAGGCGAAUACAGCAACUGAUGCUGCACUCAGCAGACGAACUCGGACUUCUCUCAGAGAGUGACGGGACCACACCGAGCACAGAGGAGAAUGACGAAUUCUUUGUGUUCACUGAUCAAGGAACAGUCAACCAGCUGGAGGCCGAGGCCUUGCCCAGCCACAGCAAGGCGGAACUGGAGACCCUUCAUUUUUUGGAGGAUCCCAGAAAAGACCUGGCUUCACUAAAUGCAUACCCUUUGAUGAAACAGCUUUUUGUGAGAUUUAACACAACCCUACCAUCCUCAGCCCCGGUUGAGCGCCUGUUUUCUUUUGCUGGCUUAGUGAACCGGCCUCACAGAAGGUCAUUAACACCAGAUAUGCUGGAGAAGUUGGUUGUCCUGAAGAACAACUGAUCUGUUUUUCUGUUUAAUAUGGAUAAAAUAAAAUGGAUUUGAAUGUAGCGUUA